AUGGAAGAGGUCUUCUCAGACGCUUUUCAUGCGCUCAUCGGUACAGCCAACGCUAGACCAUAUACUUUGGACUUGGACUUUUUGGGUAUUGAGGAGACAGACUUGCAUGACCUGGAGGCCAUCUUCACUGAGGAGGAAGUGUGGGCAGGGAUCAAAGAACUGCAUCCCGAUCGUGCUCCCGGACCGGACGGAUUCAUUGGAAAGUUCUAUCAAUGCACAUGGCCAGUGAUCAAGCAGAACAUUAUGUCGGUCAUAAUGAAACUUUAUGUGGGUGAUGGAAGAGGAUUUGCCAAGCUGAAUAGAGCCCUCGCUGUGCUGAUUCCUAAGAAAGCGAAUGCGGAGCUUGUUAGCGGCUUCAGACCGAUCAGUUUGCCUCAUAGCAUGUCCAAGAUCUUUGCUAAGCUUUUGGCAAUAAGAAUCAGACCGCACAUGAAGGACCUUGUCACCUUCAAUCAAUCGGCCUUCAUCAAAGGUUAG
rnacentral:rRNA from 1 species